ACGUAGGUGGCGAGCGUUGUCCGGAAUUACUGGGCGUAAAGGGAGCGUAGGCGGUUUAUUAAGUGGGAUGUGAAAUCCCCGGGCUUAACCUGGGAAUUGCAUUCCAAACUGGUAGACUAGAGUGCAGGAGAGGAAAGUGGAAUUCCAAGUGUAGCGGUGAAAUGCGUAGAGAUUUGGAGGAACACCAGUGGCGAAGGCGACUUUCUGGACUGAUACUGACGCUGAGGCUCGAGAGCGUGGGGAGCAAACAG
rnacentral:rRNA from 1 species